UACGAGGGGGGCAAGCGUUAAUCGGAAUUACUGGGCGUAAAGCGUGCGCAGGCGGUUUCGUAAGUCUGUCGUGAAAUCCCCGGGCUUAACCUGGGAAUGGCGAUGGGGACUGCGAGGCUAGAGUUUGGCAGAGGGGGGUAGAAUUCCACGUGUAGCAGUGAAAUGCGUAGAGAUGUGGAGGAACACCGAUGGCGAAGGCAGCCCCCUGGGUCAAAACUGACGCUCAUGCACGAAAGCGUGGGGGGCAAACAGG
rnacentral:rRNA from 1 species